ACAUCCUGGAGCGUAGUUUUAACCCUCCAUCCUUAUGCCUGUGGAUACCUAGCGAGGACACAGAGCACCUACCCAGCGAGCAUGCACUAGGUCUCCGUAAUGUCUCAAAAGGUCCCAACAGGGAAAUCUGUGUCUACCAGGAACCUUCCAGUUGCUCUCAGCUUCCUGUUUGUGGUUGUGAUGUGAACUCAGCUUCCUGCUCUUGCUGCCAGGCCUCUUGAGCAAGACAGACCCUUAUCUCUCCGGAACCGGUCUCAUGGUAUAGUUAUGUCAGGAGAUCAGGCUGGCUUCCAGCUUGCAGCAAUCCUCCUGUCUCUGCCUCUGGAGUACCUGGGUCACCACACCUAGCUAGAAGUCUUUAUUGGUAUGGAAGCUUCCCUCUCUGCACUGGGAGGAGAGGAGCU
ensembl:lincRNA Gm43878 predicted gene, 43878